rnacentral:lncRNA from 1 species
GUGGUGAUGGAGGUGGCAAAUAAACUGGAGGUGGCGGUGAUGGUGGUGGUGGUGGUGGAGAGUACACUGGAGGUGGAGGUGGUGGAGAGUACGCUGGUGGUGGCGGUGGUGGAGGUGGUGGAGAGUACGCUGGUGGUGGCGGUGGUGGAGAGUACACUGGUGGAGGUGGUGGUGGAGAGUAUACCGGUGGAGGUGGUGGUGGUGGAGAAGGUGGUGGCGGUGAUGGUGGUGGAGGAGGUGGUGAAUACACUGGAGGAGGUGGUGGCGGCGGUGAAGGUGGUGGCGGUGAAGGAGGAGGUGGCGGUGGUGAAUAAACCGGUGGCGGAGGUGGAGGUGAUGAGAAUUGUGGCGGAG